rnacentral:rRNA from 1 species
UACGUAGGUGGCAAGCGUUGUCCGGAUUUACUGGGCGUAAAGGGCGCGCAGGCGGUCGAUCAAGUCGAGUGUGAAAGCCCCCGGCUCAACUGGGGGAGGGUCAUUCGAAACUGGUCGACUCGAAGGCAGGAGAGGGUAGUGGAAUUCCCGGUGUAGUGGUGAAAUGCGUAGAUAUCGGGAGGAACACCAGUGGCGAAGGCGACUACCUGGCCUGUUCUUGACGCUGAGGCGCGAAAGCUAGGGGAGCAAACGGGG